CGGGGCGUGGCGCAGUCUGGUAGCGCACCUGCUUUGGGAGCAGGGAGUCGGAGGUUCGAAUCCUCUCGCCCCGACCA
rnacentral:tRNA from 1 species